rnacentral:rRNA from 1 species
CCAAAGGCAAAUCCGCCGGAUCGUCUGCCAGGAAAAUCCUCUAAGGAGAGUUAGGUGACUGUACCACAAACGGACACACGUGGACGAGAUGAGUAUUCUCAGGCGCUCGGGUGAUGAGUUGUUAAGGAACUAGGCAAAUUAACCCCGUAACUUCGGGAGAAGGGGUGCCCAUGCAAAUGGGCCGCAGUGAAUAGCGUCAGGCGACUGUUUAACAAAAACACAGGUCUCUGCUAAGUCGAAAACGAUGUAUAGGGGCUGACGCCUGCCCGGUGCCGGAAGGUUAAAGGGAGUGGUUAGCGCAAGCGAAGCUACGAACUGAAGCCCCGGUGAACGGCGGCCGUAACGAUAACGGUCCUAAGGUAGCGAAAUUCCUUGUCGGGUAAGUUCCGACCUGCACGAAUGGCGUAACGAUCUGACGACUGUCUCAACAACUCGCCCGGCGAAUUUGUGGUUCCGGUGAAGACGCCGGAUGCCCGCCACAAGACGGAAAGACCCCGUGCACCUUUACUAUACCCUAUCAGUGAAUUAUGGGUUGGACUGCGCAGUAUAGGUGGGAGGCUUUGAGAUCGGGUUUUUGGACUCGAUGGAGCCAACGGUGAGAUACCACCCUGUGUAAUCUGUGAUUCUAACCUGCUUCCAUGAUCUGGAAGAGGGACACUGGUAGGCGGGUAGUUUGACUGGGGCGGUCGCCUCCUAAAUUGUAACGGAGGCGCUCGAAGCUGCGUUCAGGUGGUUUGGAAAUCCACCGACGAGUGUAGGCAUAAACGCGGUUAACUGCGAGACCUACAAGUCAAGCAGGUGGGAAACCAGGACUUAGUGAUCCGGUGGUUCUGUAUGGAAGGGCCAUCGCUCAACGGAUAAAAGGUACGCCGGGGAUAACAGGCUGAUCGGAGUCAAGAGUUCACAUCGACGCUCCGGUUUGGCACCUCGAUGUCGGUUCAUCGCAUCCCGGGGGUGUAGAAGCUCCCAAGGGUUAGGCUGUUCGCCUAUUAAAGCGGUACGUGAACUGGGUUCAGAACGUCGCGAGACAGUUCGGUCCCUAUCUGUGGUGGGCGCAGGAAAUUUGAGGGGGCUUGGCCUUAGUACGAGAGGACCGGGCUGAACGAACCUCUUGUGAUACAGUUGUCACUCCAGUGGCACAGCUGUGUAGCGAAGUUCGGUUAGGAUAAGCGCUGAAUGCAUAUAAGUGCGAAACCUUCCCCAAGAUGAGAUUUCCCAACCGUAAGGUAAUAAGGGCCGUGGAAGACUACCACGUUGAUAGGACGGGUGUGUAAGAGUAGUAAUACUUUGAGCUAACCGUUACUAAUAGCCCGUUCGGCUUGACCAU